rnacentral:rRNA from 1 species
CCCUUAGAUGUUCUGGGCUGCACGCGUGCUACACUGAUAUUGCCAAUAUGUCAUUCUUAUCCGAAAUGGAUUGGGUAAUCAAGUAAUGAAAUUUCAUGCUUGGAAUCGGUAAUUGCAAUUUUAUCGUGAACGAGGAAUUCCUAGUAAGCACUAGUCAUCAGCUAAUGUUGAUUAUGUCCCUGCCCUUUGUACACACCGCCCGUCGCUACUACCGAUCGGAUGGUUUAGUGAGACCCUCGGACUGGUCCCGCUGUCGGACAGGCAACUGUUUGCAGCGCGUGCGCCGGGAAGAAGGUCGAACUUGACUAUCUAGAGGAAGUAAAAGUCGUAACA